ACUCUUUUUAGUUUUUUUCUGAAUAUUUACAGAUUGACAAUGAACAAUUCUUCAACAAAUAUUUAUUGAACACCUGUUGUGUACCAUUCUUUAAAAAAAAAAAUUUUUUUAACGUUUAUUCAUUUUUGAGAGACAGAGAGAGACAGCAUGAGCAGGGGAGGGGCAGACACAGAAUCCGAAGCAGGCUCCAGGCUCCGAGCUGUCAGCACAGAGCCUGAUGCAGGGCUCAAACUCACAAACUGAGAUCAUGACCUGAGCUGAAGUCGGAUGCUUAACUGACUGAGCCACCCAGGUGCCCCUGUUAUGUACCAUUCUUGAUGGUGAGGAUAUAGCAAUAAAUGAGACAAAGCCCUGGUAGUUCAAUAAAUACUUGUAAAAUAAGUGAAUGAAGGACCUCUUCCAGUUGUUUGUUUUAGUCUAGCCUACUUAUUCCUUUUUAUAAUCAGUUUUAAGCUACUGCUCCAUUCUCUUUUUUCUUAGGAUGCCUUGUCAGAGGUGGAAUGCUCAACCUACCUACCCCUGAGGACCCUGGGAGACAGGCCUGAGGAGACUGUGCCCCAUAACCCUCUGGGGACUUUGGUCAAGACUGAUACCAAACAACUUUUAAACCGGUUGAGAACCUUAAUGUGAAUUCAUUGCACAAGCGGUCCCAUCUCUGUAUGAUCUUUGGAUUCUGCCCCCAAUGCAGAACUCUCCCACUCACUUACAAAACCUUCAUCCCUGGUCCCCUCAUUUCUCUGAGGUCUCACACAGAAACUCUUAAGAGGAAUUUCCCUCAACCCACUCAUUCAAAUUACACCCACAUUUCCCCUCAGACCCUGCUUUGUUUGCAGCCCUGGAGGGUUUUCCCCUCCUCCAGUAUCAGAAAGUGGGGAAACUGAGAUACUUCUAGCUCUCUAAUGUCAUUUUCAGGCCAUUAUUCUUCCUCCAAGAUAUUUACAUGCCAUUCCUCCUGCUAUGGAGUUCAGGCUAAACUCUCCUUCAUGUUCUUGGCUAUUCCUGGUCACUUCUAUACUAGGACUGGUACGAGGCUUCCUCUUCUCCCCAAUCCUACAUAAUUCUGGGUUGAUUGCAACACCUUGACUUACUGAUCCAACAUUCCAAGCCCAUAAUUCUCUGUUGUUGUUUUGUAAGCUAACUGCUUUAAUCUUCCUUUUAUAAAAAAGACAGUUGGGUUUAACAAGAGAUAACAACAAAACCACAAAUACUUGAGCUACCUACCUUUGCAGCUGGAUGUAGGAGCUCCCUUGUUCUUUGACUCUAAUGACCUUUACUUUUACCCGACUUUAGACACCCAUUACUACUACACAUUUCAUUACAUGGAAGAGUUCCAACUCCAAAAUCUUAACUCUAACAUCACUGUGACCACCAGGUCCUGAGCUUCCAACUUAAUCACUUCUUUCACUUCUAAAUUGUCAUCAGCUCUUUGACCUUAUCAAGACCUCUCUUGACCAGAGCUGAUCAUACCUUCUUUGGCCUACCUUUUCACCCAGUCUGAAUAGGGUGGAUAUCUUGAACUGUCCCUCCCCAGCACCUUCCAUCCCCUUAUUCCCUUAUCAAUCCACUCAAUGUGUCCACAGACUAUGAUCCAGGAGCUACAUAAUAAUGCAUCUUAUCUGCUCUUGUACCCAGGCGGCUGGGUGUUGCUAGAGAAAACAGCAGAAAUAUAGAUUGGUACCAUUCCAGUAGAUUACACGUUCCAAGGAUUAUACAUUCGUGGUUUCCAAUCUGUUAGGCCCUUGACACUUGUUCUCUAACCCUUUUACUUAGUAUUAUUGUCUGUUCUCUUCCAUUCCUCUCCCUUUCAACCUCUCUCCUAAACGAUGGCCACUCUUCUUAAGCCCCCUAACUCUCAUCUCCCUGUCAACUUGCAACCUUACAUCUCCGCAAAGAAUAGCGAAGCCAUCGGAGAAGGUCUCCCAUCAACUACCAACCCCAGUCACAAACAGCGAUGAGUUUACCCCUCAUUGUAUUUUCACCUUGAGCCUCAAGCAGGAUGCAGUAAACAUCUCCCUGCUUGAGACCAAUUUCCUACACAGCUGGCUUCCCAACUAAACCAGCCCCAGCACCUCACCAUGCAUAGUGGUUGGCACAUAAGUGCUUCAUAAAUGUAUGUUGAAAUGUUUAAUUGACCAUAUCCACCUGAACUGAUUUACAUCCCCUCCUUUUUCUUCAUCAUUCUCCGCUGAGCUUCAACAUUUACUGGUUCCUUUCACUCAAGUCAAUAAAUGUGCCUAAAUUUAACAUCUUAAAACAACAAAACCUUCCCACACCACUUGGUUCUACAGGCAAGAUUCUACCUCUACUAAUCUGUUGACACUGCUGGCUCAAGAAGGUUACUAAUUGCCAAAUCAAAUGGACACCCUUUAGUCCAUUAAAAAAAAAUGUGAUUUUUAUUGUUUUUAGAAUUAAAAUGACCUCUAUCAAAUAUAUACUCAUUUCCAAAAUCUGGAAAAAUAUAGAAAGUGGACAUACAUAGACACUCUAUAAUCAUGACAAAUAGAGUUACCCACUGUUGUGACACAUUUCUUGAAAUUCUGGGCAUUUUUUUUUUAAGAUCUUAUUUUUAAUCUCUACACCCAACAUGGACUCAAACUUACAACUUCAAGAUCAAGAGUUGCGUGCUCCACUGACUGAACCAGCCAGGCACCCCUUGGGGCACUUUUUUUUUUUUUUAAUUAAAAAUAAAAAUUUUUUAAACGUCUAUUCAUUUCUGAGAGACAGGCAGAUUGCAAGCAGGGGAGGAACAGAGAGAGACACAGAAUCCAAAGCAGGCUCCAGGCUCUGAGCUGUCAGCACAGAGCCCGACAUGGGGCUCGAACCCACGAACUGUGAGAUCAUGACCUGAGCCAAAGUCAGACACUUAACUUACUGAGCCAUCCAGUUGCCCCAAGGGGCACUUUUUAUUAUAUAGAAGAGAUAUUUCUAAUUUCUUACUUCAGCAACCUCCAAUAGCAUUUCACAUUGACUCAAUUCUUCCAUUAAACUCUGUCAUUGGGCACCACAUCUUCCAGAUUCUCUUAUUUUGUUGGGCCCUUUCUUUAUUGCCUUCACAUGUUAGCUUUCAUCAGGGCCAGCCCUCCAGUCAUUUUGCUCUAUAUGCUUUCACUUCCAUAGUAUUACUAAGUGUACUGUGAAAUUCACAGAAUCUACAUUUCCUAUUUUGAUUUUUUCACCUUCUAGGCUCCUAAAUGCAAUAACUUAUGGGUAACCUAUUCUUUGAUGUCCUACAGGCACCUCGUAUCAUCCUUUCUGCAACACAGAACUCAUGAUCUUCCUUGUUAAACUUGCUCUUUCAGUGGUAGUUUCUCUCUAGGUUAUAGCAUCAUCCUUUGCCCAGUAACUGAGGCCAGAAACCUGGGGAUCUUUUAUUAGAGUGCUUUCUCUUCCCAAGUCCUACACCCCAUAUCCAGUUCUGUUGAUUGUGCUUCCUGUGUAUCUCUUGAAUUUGUCCACUCUUCUUCAUCCCUACUGUCUUUACCUUCUUUAGUUACUAAUCAUAUCUAGCCUAAGUACUAUAGCAACACAACAGUCUGUCUUAUUUAUAACUAGCCUGUGGUAACAGUUUACUAAGUGGAGUGUAGUACAGAAUUCCCCACUUAGGUAAUGAUGCUUCAUUGCUAUGUCAAAUUUAUGCCACAGGUUGAAUCAUCUUUUCUUUACAACUGCCAUAUCCCUUAACUUUCCAUCCUGUUAACAGCACCUCUAAAUACAUCAAUUUUACCCUCUCCAACCUCUUGCCCACACCGUAGUCGGAAAGCUUAUUCUAAAGAGCCAAUCUGACUUGUCAUUCUUUUGCUCAGUCUUUAAACAGCGCUUCUCAUUGCCUCCAGGAUAAAGUCCAAAGGGCCCUCUGUGAUUGGACUCCUGCUUCCCUCCACCCGUCUCCAGCCUCACCUGCUGCAUGGCAUGCUACAACUACUCUCAAUUACUUCAAGUUUCCAAUUAUUGCAAUGUAAUGGAAUUACAUCUGCAUCUUGUUACAUGCUUCCUUUUGGAAGACCCCCUUUCCUGACAUAACCUUUACCUGUCAGUCUUACUGUAUCAGAUUUCAGCUUACUAACUCCUUUCUGUGGAAGGAUUUUUCUGUUCUUCUACCUCCCCAAAUUAGGGAAGUGCUUCUAGAACAUUUUGUGCUCAUCCCUUCUUGUAUUCUAAUUGUCUUGUCUACCCAUCCUUAUUAUAUCCCUCUAUAGUCUGUAAGCUCCUUGACGGCUCCUUAUGUGCUGUUGGAAUCCCUGGAGAGGGCUUUGCACACCUUAUGCUGUUUAGUCAGCAUGACCACCCUUCAUAGUGGGUACCACAUCAUUCCUGUUUUACAAGUAAGUAAGCAAAGAGAGUUGAAGAAACUUGUCCUGAGUUACCAGAAUAGAUAAAAACCAGACAACUUGAUGCUAGAGCCAGUCCAUCACUAAAUCCUUCACCUUCAAAUUCCUUCUCCACAUGUUUUGGCAUUGACCUAAAAAUAUUCUUCUUUGCCAUCCAUCAGGUCCCUAGGCAUGCCUGCCUGUCAUAGCCUCUGUCAUGUGGCUCCUAUCUGCCCUGUUGGCCUGGUACCAGCCACUGCCCAGGACUUGAUGCUGCUGUUGCAGAAAUACCACCCACUCCACACGGUCCCGUCCUUCUCUAAGUGUUGGUCUGUCUACCAAAAUGCCCCUUGUCACCUUACCUUUCUGGAGAAAUCCUGUUCCUCCUUCAGAACUUGCUCCAUAAGUGUUCCUGAUCACUUUUUCCCCAUCCCUUUGCAGACACCGUAGCGACUCCUGCCUCCAUUCUCAGAAGCCGUGCCACUUCGGCAAGUUACUGCUUUAGUUUCCUCACUUGGACAAUGGCAGCAGUAAGACUGCUUUCUCAUGGAGCUGCUGUGAGGGUGUGUUAAAGCACUCGGCAUGGGGCUUGACACACCAUAAGUGCUCAAAACAUUUAGCAAUUAUUAUUUGCUCAUCCCCAUUCCUCUAUGUAGCUAGGCCUACUUGGGUACUACCCAAGUUCAACACGGUAGCAUGAUUUCUUCACGUGGAAAAAGGAAGCACCCACAUAUCACUUAUAUUUUAGCACAGCACCUGGCAUAUUUUGGGCUUUUAUUAAGUAAUCAAACUGGACAAUUUCAUUUCCACCACCAGUAUUUACCUAAUGAUUGCAGCCCUUUGGAUGGUCCCUUCUUGGGAUUCUUUUACUACAGAUGGACUGAUGAUAUGCUGCCUUGCAUUAUAUGUAGAAGCAUCGUCUCAAUGAGGCUUCAAGUGCCUCCAGGGCAGACACCAUCUCUUACAUGGUCUAUCUGCCCAACAACAGCUAAUAUUUCUAACUGCAAAGUGGGUGUUCAGCAGUUACCGGUGAAUGAAAAUAUUCUUGCCCAAGCACGGGAGGCCUCACCUCAUUAGUAAGUCCCCAGUCUCUUAAGAAAAGUUAGCUAACAACCCUUCUCCUGAUUCUCCUUCCCUUAGAAUUCUGCUUAGAAUUUGCAUUUAUUUGUAUGCCUCUGUCAAGUCCUAGCUUCCCUUUCCUAGUUAACCCCCGUCAAGGCCCGGUAGAGGGCACUAUACACCCGAGGAUUGCUCGUGUGAGUACUGCUGGCUCACUGCAGAUAUUCUCAAUGGAAAGGCUCCAAGUUUUUUUUAUUUUGCCUGCAUUUUCCAUGCCCGGGCCACAUUAGCUUAAAAUAAAUGCUGCUGGACAAUAAUAAUGGUGACUUCAUCCCUGCCACCCUGUGUAUCAGAUGGUCAAGACGACUGUCAGUACAAUCAUCACUCAAUUAUGUUGGAGGAGUGGAAGAACCCUUACCACACUCUUUGGGAUGUGGGCAGGAAUAGCUACUUGAGGCACUGCAGAGCAAUCUGUCCUGCUUGCCUGGCCCUGUAGUAUGGGGGUGAGGGAGAAGGAAUGGCAAGGUGCUACACUAAAAUAGAGAUGGCCACAGUCCUUUCUCAGCCCCUCAGGAUCCCUCAAGGCUACAGCUUAGAACUAAGGACCAGGGAAGCCAGGAAUAUUGGAAAAGUCAUAUAUAUAAGCCGAGAGACUAUCUCGAUCUCUUCAGCAACCUAACUUUGCCACCUCCUAAAUAAUUUCUACACUUCAACUUUAUCUGUAUUAAAACGAACCUGCACCAAAUGAUCCCACAUUCAGCCUCACUGAUCUCACUCCCCAGGUGUAUGCACCUGGCAAACAUACACUAGGGAAGUCAUGCUCAAAAAGAAGUCAUGGGAUUGGCUGAAGGGGAAUAAAGAUGAGAAGACUAACCCCACACUACAGUAAACAUUCUGUGUGUGUACAGCUCCUAGCUUUGAGUUUGUAAGUUUCAAGUAUGUGAACUUUUGCAGAUGUCUUCUUUCACAAAGACAAUAAACCCCACAAUGGUAGGGAAUGUCUUUAAUGUACCUCCAUACCACCUGGCUGGCUCAGUGUCUAGCAUGCGGUUCAGAAAGGCUGAUGGCUAAGAGGCAUCACCAUCUCCUGGCUAAAGCAGAAGACAGCAAGUCCGUAACAUCCUGAGGAACUGAAAACGUAUUUGGAAAACUUCUGAUUAAAGAGAAAGAAUGAGUUAGAUACUGACAAUCACGUUCCUAGUCUAGUUUAAAAUUACCCGUCACCUUCAAGAAGAUGGAGAGUUCGCUGGAAUAUCUAUGUCUCCUGGACUUUAUCUUCCUUGAUGCAUACUCAUUUGAGAAGCCAAUCACACUUGGGAAAAUAUCACAGUAAACUCUCCUACUCAAAGUUGGGCAAAAUGCGUAAGUAGAUUUCAUCUACUGUAUGUGAAUGUUGGUGUGUGUCUCGGAGAGACAGGUGAGUUUGUUUCUCCUUUGGUAAUGUUUCUUUUCUAGGUUACAUUCACAGGCAAUUUUUAACUUCUUGCAGCGGCAGGAUUCCAGUGAUACUUGUGACAAUGGUGAGGAAGUAAGUCACUCUGCCUCCUGCUGGCCACAAACAGAAAGGUUGAGCUUUUGGCUUAUGACCAGAGGUCACAUUUCUCCUUCACAGACUUAAGAACUUAUGAAGGAAUGGAAGACUAAAAGGGAAAAGAAGAGUGGGCUUCCUUUUUUGCUUAGCCUAUACUAAGCUCUAGGUGUUAAUAAACUAGAUCAGAUUCCUUAUUUUGUGAACCAAAACCCGACGUUGACACAUCUUCUACACUAGCUACACAAACAAAAGGGAUGGACAGGAGUCCAGAAAAGCCCUGAUCUAUACACCAAUAUCCCUGUUCCCUCUCCCUGAGUGACGGAAGCGGCAAGCCCAGUCACAUCCUGUAUUAAGGGCCCCUGUUCCUUAAAACUCAGGGCCCCAUACCAGCUUCUCCCCUGAAUGCUGUCUUCAGUUUCAUUUUCUUCCCUUUCCCCAAACCCCAAUAAAACACACCAACUGCUUCAGAAUAUUUCUGGGUUGUGUUUUUUUGUGGGUCAUCUUCUUUUUUUUUUUUUAUUUCAAAUACUCAAAAAGUCCCCUGGGCUCUGUGGGGCUCCCCACGCUCAUGGCCCCUUUCCCCACACUCACUGCCCUUUUCCCCACAGCAAAUCUAUUUCAAGGACAGCACUUUUUAAAAUGAACAAUUAACAUUGGGUUCUCAGCUUGCUCUGCGGGACCAGAGGGGUUGUUUGCUUCUGUCAUCUUUAGAUGGACAGUUUCUUUUAUCUGNN
rnacentral:lncRNA from 1 species